ensembl:lncRNA
UGCCUCCCAUCCAUUUCGUUACAGUUUGUUGGAGGAAAACGCUUUAUGGUCCUAUUGUAAGUUUAACUGCGUCCACAAAAAAAGAACCACACUUUCAUUGCAAAAAGCCCAAGGGCUAAGACCUUAUUUGACACCUCCUACGAGUAAUCAUUAUAGCAAGUACUGUGCCUCUGUCAAAAUCAUAGUAGAGCUGUGAAAAUCCUGAAAAUCCUGAACUGAGACAAUUACAUUGAACAAAGAAACCAGUUGGAAAAAUGCCUCAGGCCCCCUUCCGCUGCCCGCGUGAGAUGGUGCACACCUCUGGGAACCAAUCAUAGCCCUCCCAGCCACCGGCAGCAGAUAGAGUGGCAGCGGCCGUGAUGAAAGGAGAGUCCUAGGAAUCAUGUCAACAACAUGGCGAGGCCCUGACUGUU